UACAGAGGUCCCAAGCGUUGUUCGGAUUCAUUGGGCGUAAAGGGUGCGUAGGUGGCGGGGCAAGUUUGGUGUGAAAUCCCGGGGCUCAACCUCGGAACUGCACUGAAUACUGCCUUGCUUGAGCACUGGAGAGGGAACUGGAAUUUACGGUGUAGCAGUGAAAUGCGUAGAUAUCGUAAGGAAGACCAGUGGCGAAGGCGAGUUCCUGGACAGUUGCUGACACUGAGGCACGAAGGCUAGGGGAGCAAACGGG
rnacentral:rRNA from 1 species